CCGGAGGGAUGAUGACAGUAAAAGGCCGAAUUGCAGCGCGGCCGAUGCAGUUUGUUCUCCGCGCCGCGCGAUGACAAAACUCCUUGAAGCGAAUUCUGUCUGACCUCUGC